AUUGAACGCUGGCGGCAGGCCUAACACAUGCAAGUCGAGCGGAUGAAGGGAGCUUGCUCCUGGAUUCAGCGGCGGACGGGUGAGUAAUGCCUAGGAAUCUGCCUGGUAGUGGGGGAUAACGUCCGGAAACGGGCGCUAAUACCGCAUACCUCCUGAGGGAGAAAGUGGGGGAUCUUCGGACCUCACGCUAUCAGAUUAGCCUAGGUCGGAUUAGCUAGUUGGUGGGGUAAAGGCCUACCAAGGCGACGAUCCGUAACUGGUCUGAGAGGAUGAUCAGUCACACUGGAACUGAGACACGGUCCAGACUCCUACGGGAGGCAGCAGUGGGGAAUAUUGGACAAUGGGCGAAAGCCUGAUCCAGCCACGCCGCGUGUGUGAAGAAGGUCUUCGGAUUGUAAAGCACUUUAAGUUGGGAGGAAGGGCAGUAAGUUAAUACCUUGCUGUUUUGACGUUACCAACAGAAUAAGCACCGGCUAACUUCGUG
rnacentral:rRNA from 1 species